UACAUUUGAUGAUGAAAACGACCUAACAUGCCGAACUCACUUUGAUUACCUUUGAAAUUGAAUAUUUAAUGUA
rnacentral:sRNA from 1 species